rnacentral:lncRNA from 1 species
AAAAGAUGGGGACCGUUGGAUUUAUGCCAAGUGGUAAAAUAUGAUGAGAAGAGAGAAGGUUGAGUGAAAGAUCAAUGAUUUAACGCGAUGCGACGACAAUGCAAAAAAUAGAGGAAGAAUCCUCCACCAGUGGCGGUUCUCCACCCAAGAUAGCAACACAACGCCCAAGGCAGCGCACGGCGUCCAAGGGGGUGGUGACACACUUCCCUAAGCGGCAGUGUGCCUCACUAGGCUGUCGCGCGCUGCAAGCCUACUGCGCAGACGACCUGCACAUAGGGUGCGUUGUGCCUAGCCUUGUUUGCGCGCGAUGUGAUGCACGUGGACUGGUUUAUCUGUGUGCAACGUGAUGCGCGCGUAGACCGGCCCCACG